AACUAGCAUAUCAAUAAGCGGAGGAAAAGAAACCAACAGGGAUUGCCCUAGUAACGGCGAGUGAAGCGGCAAGAGCUCAAAUUUGAAAUCUGGCCCCCUUGGGGUCCGAGUUGUAAUUUGUAGAGGGUGCUUUGGCGUUGGCUGUGGUCUAAGUUCCUUGGAACAGGACGUCGCAGAGGGUGAGAAUCCCGUAUGUGGCCGCCAGUCUUCGCCGUGUAAAGCCCCUUCGACGAGUCGAGUUGUUUGGGAAUGCAGCUCUAAAUGGGAGGUAAAUUUCUUCUAAAGCUAAAUAUUGGCCAGAGACCGAUAGCGCACAAGUAGAGUGAUCGAAAGAUGAAAAGCACUUUGGAAAGAGAGUCAAAAAGCACGUGAAAUUGUUGAAAGGGAAGCGCUUGCAGCCAGACUUGCUCGCAGUUGCUCAUCCAGGCUCGCGCCUGGUGCACUCUUCUGCGGGCAGGCCAGCAUCAGUCCGGGCGGUUGGAUAAAGGCCUGCUAAAUGUACCUCUCCUCGGGGAGGACUUAUAGGGCAGGCGACAUGCAACCAGCCCGGAUUGAGGUCCGCGCAUCUGCUAGGAUGCUGGCGUAAUGGCUGUAAGCGGCCCGUCUUGAAACACGGACCAAGGAGUCUAACAUCUAUGCGAGUGUUUGGGUGUCAAGCCCGAGCGCGCAAUGAAAGUGAACGGAGGUGGGAACCCCUCGGGGUGCACCAUCGACCGAUCCUGAUGUCUUCGGAUGGAUUUGAGUAUGAGCAUAGCUGUUGGGACCCGAAAGAUGGUGAACUAUGCCUGAAUAGGGUGAAGCCAGAGGAAACUCUGGUGGAGGCUCGCAGCGGUUCUGACGUGCAAAUCGAUCGUCAAAUUUGGGCAUAGGGGCGAAAGACUAAUCGAA
rnacentral:rRNA from 1 species